UACUACCUACGGGACGCAGCAGUGGGGAAUAUUGCACAAUGGGGGAAACCCUGAUGCAGCGACGCCGCGUGAGUGAAGAAGUAUUUCGGUAUGUAAAGCUCUAUCAGCAGGGAAGAAAAUGACGGUACCUGACUAAGAAGCCCCGGCUAACUACGUGCCAGCAGCCGCGGUAAUACGUAGGGGGCAAGCGUUAUCCGGAUUUACUGGGUGUAAAGGGAGCGUAGACGGCUGUGCAAGUCUGGAGUGAAAGGCAUGGGCUCAACCUGUGGACUGCUUUGGAAACUGUGCGGCUUGAGUGUCGGAGG
rnacentral:rRNA from 1 species